AGAGUUUGAUCCUGGCUCAGAUUGAACGCUGGCGGCAUGCCUUACACAUGCAAGUCGAACGGUAACAGGUUAAGCUGACGAGUGGCGAACGGGUGAGUAAUAUAUCGGAACGUGCCCAGUCGUGGGGGAUAACUGCUCGAAAGAGCAGCUAAUACCGCAUACGACCUGAGGGUGAAAGCGGGGGAUCGCAAGACCUCGCG
rnacentral:rRNA from 1 species